rnacentral:rRNA from 1 species
AGAUGAUUUAAUGCUCUACAUAGGGUGAAAUGAAGAACAUUAUGGU